UGCUUUUAUAUAUAGAUAUUUUUUUCUAAACUUUUGAAAAUAAUUUUAAGGCUAUGCCCCUUGGCUAUGGAAAACUUUAUUCUGUAUAUUCUUUAAGAACAAGAAGCAUUUCUUACUUAACCAAAGUACAAUGAUCAAAAUCAGGAAAUUUACUAUGUAUGCAAUAUUAUUAUCUGUUCUAAUUUCCAUCAGUUGUCCCAAUAAUUUUUUUUUCCAGCUAUGUUUUUGGUUCGGGAUCAAAUCCAGGACCUCACGAUGCAUUUAGGUGUCGAUUUGACUUCGUUUUCUUUAAUCUGAAACUCUUCCUACCCUUUAUCUUUCUUUCUUGACCUUGAAUUUUUUUGGAGGAGGGGGUCAAAGUACAGGGCAAUGAUUUUGGAGAAUAUCCUUCAGUUUUAGUAGAUCUAAUAUUUGGUUAUGUAGAGUUGGGUUACAUGUUUUUAGACAGAAUAUAAUUGACUGGGAGUCGAUGCCUCCCCUCCCAGAGCCAUAUAAUAUAAGCUUCUCUCAACACUGGGGAAGUAGUUCUGGUCAACUGGUUAAGGUGAUAUUUUCCAGCUCUCUCCAAUGCAAAGAUACUGUUUACCUUUUGAUUAAUGAGUUACAUGGAAAGGUAUUUUGAGGUUGUGUAGAUGUCUCAUUGAUUUGUAAUCCUCUCUCUUAACUGGGGAGUCCAAUUGCAGGAUCUGAGACCACAACGGUUUUGAAAAAUGGACUUUCUCAGCUGGGGAAAGGGAAAGAGAAGAGAGCUCGAGUCACAAGAGGUGUCCACAGAACAGAGGUUGAGCAUCUUUCUGAAACAUUGUGUAAUUGAUGGAAGUGGCCUGAGCUGUGCUCGGGUGUUCAGAGCCCUCAUCGCUGCACAGUCCUCACCUACUCCUUUUCUGGAAAUUGGCAUUGAGCAUCAGCACGUGCAGAGGAGUAAAGGUGGUGCACAAAAGCCUCAGCCACUAUCUAAUGUAGGUGUCCAUGAUGUUCCAUUGGCAUUUGCUAACUCUUCAACCAGAACAAGUUUGGGACAAAGGCCAUCCUUCCUUCUGGGGUCCUGCAUUCCAUUUUCUUAGUGUCACGGCUCCUGAUUGGUGGCAAAAUAUACCUCCUUCUGAUUCCUUUCAUUGUCCAGAGUCCUGCCCUUGAAACAAAGCAGGACAAAUUUAUUAUUUUUUAAAAAAUUGUAACAGAAUCGCUUUACAAUAUUGUGCUAGUUUCUGCUGUACAACAGUGUGAAUCAGAGGUAAGUAUACAUACACCCCCUCCCUCUUGAGGCUCCCUGCCACACUUCCCCUCUCACCCCCCUAGGUCAUCACAGAGAACCGACCUGAGUGCCCUGUGCUAUACAGCAGCUUGCCGCUGGCUGUCCACUUCACACGUAGUAAUGCGUAGAUAUCAACACUAUCUGCCCCAUUUGCCCCACCCUCUCCUUCCUUCAGUGUCCACAAGUCCAUUCUUCUCAUGCGCUUCUCUAUUCUUGCCCUGCAAAUAGGUUCAUCAGUACUCCAGAUGGAAAGCACCCAAUAAUUUGUACCGAUGAGAGAAAAGCCCAGUUUCCAUAGAAUAGUUGACUCAAACUCCAUGGGAACCAUCAAAACGCAAGGGGACUUUGAAGGUCUCCAAAAUGGUCCUCUACCUAUAAAUCCUGCAGUAAACCCUACCCGAGGAAGCCAGUACUGGCUUCAGGCUAGAAAGAGUGAAGCAAAUGCACAGCUGCAGCAAACUUUCUCAGUUCUUUCAUUUCCUUAAAGGUCACUUUCUCUGAGCUUUUCCUUUUAUGGUCCACCUCUGGGCAGAAUCCAUCACAGCCUUGGCUGUGUUCUCUUAACCAUUCAUCUGUACCUCUGGCUUUGCACUAUGCCUCUAGCACCUAAGAUAGGCUGUGGCUCAGGGCAAGUUCUACCUAUUUAUUGAAAAAGUAAGCAAAACGCUAUGGUGCUAUUGUGUAAAGACUUGUUUAUAUGUCAGCCUCUCACCCAAGAGUAUGAGCACCUUAAUUCAGGACUGUGCUGAAUGGCUGGCAGCUAAUAUCUAUGGCCAUCAACUCAAGAGUUUAUACUGCUUGAACAACUCAGUCACUGUCUCUUGGUACAGACCUGAUGGGGAAAUCUAGUUCUAAAAACAGUUUUGCCUCUGAUCUGACUGCAUCCUCAAACCCAUGAACAUAUUACCUGGCUUUUCUUUCUAUUGUAUAUUUGUUUCUAGUUACUUUCUGUUUUCAGGUUGAGGAAAUGUGCUUUUCCUUGUUUCUAUAGUUGGACACUUCAAUUUCUUAUCUGCUUAAUCAUUUAUACAAAGGAAUAUGUUUGUUCCCAGAUAUAUUAAAAGCAAGGGUAAUGACACCUGAUAAAUAGGGCAGAUUGAGAACUUAACAAUCUUGUUAUUAAUAGAACAGCACCUAGUAUACAGAAGGGCUGGCUUCCCUGGUGGCUCAGAGGUAAAGAAUCUAUCUGUGGGUUCAGUCUCUGGGCCAGGAAGACCCCCUGGAGAUCCUCACUUUCGGGAGAAUGCAAUGGCAAGCCACUCCAGUAUUUUUGCCUGGAGAAACCCACGGACAGAGGAGCUUGGCAAGCUACAGUCCAUGGAGUCACAAAAAAGUCAGAUAUGACUUAGCAAGUAAACCACAGCCACUACCAGAGCAUACAGAAGGCUCGGAAGGAAGGAAGGGGCUGGUUGAACCCACACGUGGAGAACCACAGAUAGAGAGUGACAGCAGAUACUGAGGGCAAACUGAAUGUUAUACUCGAAUUUUCAACUACGUGGAAGGUUAGUGCCCUCAACUCCCACGUUGUUGAAGGAUCAGCUGUAUUUAUAAUUGCCAACUGGUGAUCACAAUAAGUUUAGUUAACAUGCAUAACCUCCAUAAUUACAGUUCUGGGGUGGAGGCAAGCUGCUAUUAGAAGCUUAAUUUCUCCAUCUGACAUGUCAAAGCUCCAUGAGGAAAGAAAGGGCAUAAUUUGAGCUGUACACUCAUGUAUCACAAGCACACAGAAAAGCCUUGGACACGCAGUCAAUACUAACUAAAUAUUUGUUGAAUUAAUUGCAUUAAGAAAUCCUAGGUGCUAUGAUGUGUCUUAUUUAUCUUACUGUUAAAUUGAGGGUUAUAUUUCAUGGUGGGUGCAUUGGUGAGAGUUGUUUAGCACUUUAAUCCUUGAGUGAUACUGCUCAAGAAACAAGGCACCCUGGUAAGAGAAAAAUGGCUAAGAAUUCCCAACAAAGUCUUCAAGGAGGGUGGGCCUCGAAGCAUGGGGGGUAUUUUACUGGAUAGCAGAGAGUUUUAAAAAUGGCUUCAUAAAUGUCUGGUCAGUUUUUGCACAUUCAGCACAAGCCAUGCUGACUUCAUGUGUUGCCCAGCCAACUAAACAACACAGAGAGGUGCAGCUUUAAUAAUAGAGCUAGACGUUUGGAUUUAUGAAGCCAGUGUUUAGUGGAAUUGCCCAGAAUGCUUAAGUACACAGUUUCCCAGAUCCACUCUUGCAUUUUGAAUUUUGUUGUAUUCCUACUUCUGCUUUGUCAAUAAAGUUUCUCAAAUGAAUGCACUUUUAUUUCCCCAGGUUACUACUCUA
rnacentral:lncRNA from 1 species